GAUGCUAACAGUGGGUUAGGUUGCGUUAAUUUUUACAUUUAAAAAAUAUUUUUAAAAAUUUUAUCUUAAUUUUAUUUUAAUAUAAUAGUAUUAAUAAUAAAUUUUAAAAAACAAAAAAAUAUUUUAAUAUAUUUUUAAAUAAAAAAUUCAUCAAAAAACAAUUAUUGUCACAGUUACCUUGAUUGAUACAAAAGCAAAGCAGGACAUCACUCUUCUGACAUGUUCACAGCAUCUUCUCAUGCCAUAAAUCAGGUCCCCUGCAGCUUCUAGCUGUCACCAAAAGCACUACUGCACCUCCUUCAAUCUUCACAUCUGAAAUUCUUGAGACUGGAGAGUCUCGGUAGAGAUGAGUGAUCCCAAGUAUGCUUAUCCAUACCCUGCUCAAGGUUAUUAUCAAGGACCUCCAGUGAUGCCACCUCCACAGUAUUAUGCUGCUCCACCACCUCGGAGAGAGCCUGGUUUCCUCGAGGGAUGCCUUGCAGCUUUGUGUUGUUGCUGCCUUAUUGACGAGUGUUGCUGCGACCCCUCCAUCCUCUUUAUUAGCUAACAGAGCCAUAUAUUAUGCUUCUUGCACGAAUAAUUAUAGUUUGGUGUGUGUUAUGAUAAUAGAGUGAAUGAACUCUGUUAUUUAUUACCCUGGAACAUUUUACUAUAUGUAUAUAAUAUGGUCUCCUCUUGAUCUUUCUUCGUCUA